ACUCCUACGGGAGGCAGCAGUGGGGAAUAUUGCACAAUGGGGGGAAACCCUGAUGCAGCCAUGCCGCGUGUGUGAAGAAGGCCUUCGGGUUGUAAAGCACUUUCAGUGAGGGAGGAGGUAGUGUAGUUAACACCUGCACUUAUUGACGUUAGCGACAGAAGAAGCACCGGCUAACUCCGUGCCAGCAGCCGCGGUAAUACGGAGGGUGCGAGCGUUAAUCGGAAUUACUGGGCGUAAAGCGCAUGCAGGCGGCCUGUUAAGUCAGAUGUGAAAGCCCGGGGCUUAACCUCGGAAUUGCAUUUGAAACUGGCAGGCUAGAGUCUGUAGAGGGGGGUAGAAUUUCAGGUGUAGCGGUGAAAUGCGUAGAGAUCUGAAGGAAUACCGAGGUGGCAGAA
rnacentral:rRNA from 1 species